CAGGACGAACGCUGGCGGCGUGCCUAACACAUGCAAGUCGAGCGGGGACAUACGACGGAGUCAAAGUUUCGGAUGGAGACGAAGAUGUAUGUUCUAGCGGCGGACGGGUGAGUAACGCGUGAGCAACCUGUCCCUUACAGGGGGAUAACACAGCGAAAGUUGUACUAAUACCGCAUGAGACCACGGGAGGACAUCCUCCAGGGGUCAAAGGAGCAAUCCGGUAAGGGGUGGGCUCGCGUCCGAUUAGAUAGUUGGUGAGGUAACGGCCCACCAAGUCGACGAUCGGUAGCCGACCUGAGAGGGUGAUCGGCCACAUUGGGACUGAGACACGGCCCAAACUCCUACGGGAGGCAGCAGUGGGGAAUAUUGGGCAAUGGGGGGAAACCCUGACCCAGCAACGCCGCGUGAGGGAAGAAGGUUUUUGGAUCGUAAACCUCUGUCCUUGGUGAAGAGGAAGAGACGGUAGCCAAGGAGGAAGCCCCGGCUAACUACGUGCCAGCCGCGGC
rnacentral:rRNA from 1 species